AUGGCCGCCAGAAGGCACGCCGGGAGCAGCUCCGGUCCCACUUCGGCCAACCUAAGCAUGAAGCUGCUGGUGGAGGUGGACAGGCGCGGCACGCCCAGGCGCGUGGUGUACGCCGAGGCCGGCAAGGACGUCGUCGACUUCCUCCUCACCUUCCUCACCUUGCCGAUCGGCACGGUCGUCAAGCUGCUCAGGAGGAACUCCAUGCCCAUGGUAGGCUGCGUCGGCAACCUGUACGGCAGCGUCGAGGAGCUCCCCGACGACUUCAUCUGCCACAGGGACGCCAGGGCCGCCAAGGACACCCUGCUCAGGCCCGCCGGCGGCAGGCUUCCCCUGCUCACGAACGCGGGGUCGUCGUCGUCCAGCACCGGCGGCUUUGUGAGGGCGGGCGUGACCUACGAGGUCAUGGACGACCUCGAGAUUGCUCCCAGGUCUAACGUCGAUUUCAUCACCAACCUCAACAGAUAUGGUAUCAGGGACAUCGGCUGUCUCCAGAGGAAGACUGUCCGAGUUGGCGACACCGAGGGUCUCCAGAUACUGAGGGCGUCACUCAAGUCGAAGACGGUCCUCACCGACGUCUUCCUUCGGACGAACACUCCGAGUCCGAGUCCGAGGGCCUUAACUGCAGGGUGA
rnacentral:rRNA from 1 species